rnacentral:tRNA from 1 species
GCGGGUGUCGUAUAACGGUUAUUACGCUACCUUGCCAAGGUAGUGACGGCGGUUCGACUCCGCUCACCCGCU